GGUGGCUCAGUGGUAGAGCUCUUGCCUUGCAUGCAUGAGGCCCCGGGUUCGAUUCCUCAGCACCA
rfam:Dipodomys ordii contig_32221, whole genome shotgun sequence.